rnacentral:rRNA from 1 species
CCUACGGGAGGCAGCAGUGGGGAAUAUUGGACAAUGGGGGCAACCCUGAUCCAGCCAUGCCGCGUGUGUGAAGAAGGCCCUCGGGUUGUAAAGCACUUUCAGUGAGGAAGAACGCCUGGUGGUUAAUACCCAUCAGGAAAGACAUCACUCACAGAAGAAGCACCGGCUAACUCCGUGCCAGCAGCCGCGGUAAUACGGAGGGUGCGAGCGUUAAUCGGAAUUACUGGGCGUAAAGCGCGCGUAGGUGGCUUGAUAAGCCGGUUGUGAAAGCCCCGGGCUCAACCUGGGAACGGCAUCCGGAACUGUCAAGCUAGAGUGCAGGAGAGGAAGGUAGAAUUCCCGGGGUAGCGGUGAAAUGCGUAGAGAUCGGGAGGAAUACCAGUGGCGAAGGCGGCCUUCUGGACUGACACUGACACUGAGGUGCGAAAGCGUGGGUAGCAAACAGGAUUAGAUACCCUGGUAGUC